rnacentral:tRNA from 1 species
GUUGGUAUAGCUCAGUGGUAGAGUACGUGCUUAGCAUGGACAGAGUCCUGGGCUCAAUCCCCAGUACCUCCA